ACGCACGCUGGCGGCGUGCCUAAUACAUGCAAGUAGAACGCACAGUUUAUACCGUAGCUUGCUACACCAUAGCCUGUGAGUUGCGAACGGGUGAGUAACGCGUAGGUAACCUGCCUGGUAGCGGGGGAUAACUAUUGGAAACGAUAGCUAAUACCGCAUAAUAUUGAUUAUUGCAUGAUAAUUAAUUGAAAGGUGCAAUUGCACCACUACCAGAUGGACCUGCGUUGUAUUAGCUAGUAGGUGAGGUAACGGCUCACCUAGGCGACGAUACAUAGCCGACCUGAGAGGGUGAUCGGCCACACUGGGACUGAGACACGGCCCAGACUCCUACGGGAGGCAGCAGUAGGGAAUCUUCGGCAAUGGACGAAAGUCUGACCGAGCAACGCCGCGGGAGUGAAGAAGGUUUUCGGAUCGUAAAGCUCUGUUGUAAGAGAAGAACGGGUGUGAGAGUGGAAAGUUCACACUGUGACGGUAUCUUACCAGAAAGGGACGGCUAACUACGUG
rnacentral:rRNA from 1 species